GAGGGGAGCGCCCUAUCCUGGGCUGUGUCCCCCCGCACCCUGGGCUCCAGGGCCUGCGAUGCUGGAAUCGCGCUCCCGGGGCCGCACAGCCCCCU
rnacentral:pre_miRNA from 1 species